AUCAAGCAGGCAGUAAAGGCGCUGAGGAGGAGCAAGAGCGAGAAGGGGGUCCCGGAGGACGUGAAGGAGGGGCAGUUCGCGGUGGUGGCGGUCCGGGGUGAGAAGCCGCGGAGGUUUGUGAUUUCGCUGAGCUGCCUUGAGCAUCCUGUGUUUCUGAGACUACUGGAGCUGGCAGAGGAGGAGUUCGGGUUCCAGCAUGAGGGGGUGUUGGCGAUUCCGUGCAGGCCGAGUGAGUUGGAGAGGAUCAUCAGAGAGCUCUCGUGAUGAUGAGCAAGAGAAGUAGGGGUUGGUUUAACCUAAUUGUGAUGAGCAAGAGGAGUAGGUGUUGGUUUAACCUAAUUGUUAUGGGUAGAAGCUAAUAGUGGAGGAG
rnacentral:misc_RNA from 1 species